rnacentral:rRNA from 1 species
UAUAUAUGAGGGGUUCUCCAGACAAUAAUGACGCUUCUCCAGACUACAAUAUGCGAUACUUGGUGUGAAUUGCAGAAUCCCGUGAACCAUCGAGUCUUUGAACGCAAGUUGCGCCCGAAGCCAUUAGGUUGAGGGCACGCCUGCCUGGGUGUCACAAAUCGUUACCCCAAUGCAAUAUCUUAACUUAGGGUAUUGGUAGGGUGUAAGUUGACCUCCCGCAUGCAUCGUCUUGUGGUUGGUUGAAAAUUGAGUCCUUUGUGGAGAGCCCCAUGAUAAAUGGUGGUUGAGUAACCCUCGAGACCAAUCAUGUGCGGCUCUUUACUCAUGGCUCAGGUGACCCUUGUGUUCUUUAGAACGCUCACAACGAGACCUCAGGUCAGACGGGGCUACCCGCUGAGUUUAAGCGUAUAUCUAAUGAAAG